AUGGCUGUUGCCCUCACCAACGUCCCCGACCAAGCCCCCCUCGCUGCCGGGAUCGCCAGCCAAUACAGCCACGCCGUCCGCGGCCUCGGCGCUAUUGCGAAUCGUCGUGCCGUCCAUCACCGCGGUCUCCAGCGAGCGCGCGGCCGAGGAGGACGCCGAGAUGCGCUGCUCACACGCGAGCGCGCGGCCGAGGAAGACGCCGUCCAGGCCACGGCUGCCCCGUUCACGCCCGCCUCAGGACACGUCCGGCCCCGGCCUCGCCCGGAGCUCCUGCAACACGUCGAGGGAGGAGGGCAGCUCCACGGGCUGCCACCAUUAGCGCCGACGCACUCCUUGAGACGCUUGGCGAAGAGCCUGGCGAUCUGCAGCUGCGUCUUGGCCAUGGUCUCCGCUCGAUCUUCAGGAACGAGCUCGCCAGCAGCAGGGAAGGCGGCCACCGGCGGGAGCGGGGCCGCGGUGGCCGGCGAGGGGAGGGCGAGGGGAGGCUGCGAAGGCGCGCCCCCUGGCGUGCGGCGGCGAGGAGGAGGCCACGACGGUGGGUGUCGACUGUCCUCUAGCCGCUCCCCUUCUCUCCAACUUGGUAUCGGUCAUCAGGAAACCACCAUGGCUGAGCCUUUCUCCUCCUCCGCUGCCACCAGCUCCGCUACGUCGCCUGGGCUCACUCUCCUCCACGGCGCCCGCCGCCGAGACCUCCUCUACCACCCUUCAUCUUCCGAUGAGAAGGGUGCCAUCAGAAGCCUUGAUCUCUUGUACAUAAGGGUAGAGGCAUAUAUAAAGCACAUGCCUGAAAGUUUUCCGAGAGAGGACCCAUUCACCAUGGUCUUUCCUGCUGGGUUUGAGUUCGACAUGGAGAAACAUGAUGGGCAGAUCAGGCCGCCUCCUCAGGACGAUGAUGUUCUUCUGAGUGUUGACUUUGUGAGGGAAGUUGAUGAGCUGCUGAAAGAAGUUCAAGCUGAACAAGAGAAGAAUAAGCUGCAAACUAGAUACGACCCGGAGUCGGUUGCGACCAUGUCGAAACAGCAAGAGAAGCGGCAGACUAUAUCCCGGCCAUUUCCAAUCCCGCUGCUUCAAUCCACCUUCAUGUCUCAUCUGCAGAGAAGAUGGCCACCUCACGGUGGAUUGUCAGAACAGAACCGUCGUAAACCUGCCUUCUUUAAGCUCUAUGGUCAAGGCCUUCCUGGGUGCUCCUUCUAUGCCCUUGACAGCGAGAUCCCUCAGGUGGCAGUGGCCCCUGCGCUGUCCAACACUGCUAUCAUUUCCAUCAAAGAUCACAAAAUCUCUCCCCAGACCAUCCUGGACGAACUCAAGCUGUGGGAUGACGGAGGCUGGCAGAUCCGGCAACUCUCUGACUUGGAAUUUGCUGCAGUUUUCCCCUCCAAAAGUAGCCUCAAGAUGAUCUCCUCUUGCACAAGUUUCACUCUACCUCUCAACCAGCUUGUUGUGUCACUGAAGGCGGCUUCUAAUGGUGCUAAGCCCAUAUCCCCCCUCUCGGAAACAUGGGUCCUUGUGGAUGAUAUUCCCCCUACUUUGUGUUCUGCUGAAUUUGUGAUGGCCUUUGGUGUCUUGAUCGGCAAGCCUAUCAUGGUUGAUCCGGAGUCCCUCUCUGUCCUUGGCCCCGUUCGUCUCAAGCUUUGGGCAGUGGACCCUCUUUGUAUUCAUGGAUCUGUCGACGUCUUCCCUUCAUCUGACGGCUUCAGACUGCGGGUCCGCUUGGAGGGUGGUGCCAACCCCAAUACUCCUCCUCCCCUAGCUCCUCCUCCGGCUGAGAAUCGUGGGGGAGGUGGUGAUGAUGCUGCCAACCUGAGUGGGGGCUCUCAUCCACACUUCACAGCCUCCGAAUGGGAUGGAAUGGGCUCGGAAUCCAGGGAACUCUUCAAAGACAAUGCCCCGAAGAGCAAGGAUGUUGGGAAGGAUGUGGUGGCGGAGAAGCUCCGGGCCUCCUCGGGCACCAAGCUUUCCACGAAGGGGCUGGACACUGACAUUGGUGACGCGGCAGGCCAGGCUUCUCCGGUGGCGCCGCGUUCUACUCCGAUCCGCUCCCCUUCCUCAACAGCGCGCAAGAGUGGUCAAAUUCGUGACAGUGGAGUGCGGGUGGCGGACAAGGCUGCUCAUCAUGCGGCGGCUCGUGACCUCUCGGCUGCAGGGCCAAUGAGGUGGCCUAGGCUGCUAUUGCCAAAGCAAAAGAGAUUGCGGCGGCUCCUCCCGCUCCUUCAGUUGUGGCCGAAGCGGGUUCGGGAGAGGGGGAGACAGCCAGUGCUGCUGCUCCCCGGAGGCUUCGGGGCUCGGGGGCGCCGGGACCAACUCAAAGACGUCGUCAGGGGCGAUAAUACUUAUCUUAUCGGUCUAGUUGAGACUUUUAAGACCUCCUUCUCCCCCCACGAGCUUGCUGCAGUUGCGGGAGCUGAUCGUUUUGAUUGGAAUUUUCUUCCCUCCUCGGGCCACUCGGGCGGCAUUCUGAUUGGCUCUAAGCGUGAAGUUUUUGACUUUGUAGCCUUCGAUCAUGGAAUUUUUUGGGCCAGUUCUGUUGUAUUUCACCGCCAACUCAAUAUGCUUUGGGAAGUCAUGGUGGUUUACGGCCCGGCUGAUCAUUCCCUUUCCCCUUAUUCCUGGAUGAAAUCUCUAAUAAGGUGGAUUCUUGCACCCUCCCCCUCCUUGUUGGUGGUUUCCCCUAUUCGCUCUGUCCUUGAUCAUGUCUUUGUUUGCCCAAGCUGGGACUCCCUUUCCCCGCUAGCUAUUCUCAAAGCAAAGGCCAUUGUAGGCUCGGACCAUGCCCCGCUCAUUCUUGACGCUGGGCUCCAUCGCUCCCACACCCCUCCUCGGUUCCAGUUUGAUGCCUCUUGGCUUUUGAUUGAUGGCUUUGCUGACCUCCUCGCUUCUAAAAUCUCGGAUUUGCUUACGACUGCUCAUCGUUCCUUUGGCCCUAUGGAUGAUUGGCACCACUGUUCUCGUUGGUGCAGUUGCAUCGCCUUGCUGAAAUCUAUUGGCGCCAGAGGGGCACAAUCAAUUGGAUACUUAAAGAAUACUCCCCCACUGCUUACUCCUGUGGCUCACCGCACCCUUUCUCCUACUCAAUCUGCCUUUGUCAAAGGUCGUUUUAUCCUCGAUGGGGUCCUCUGCCCGCAUGAGAUCGUCCAUGGUAUCCACAAAUCAGGUAGCAAGGCUGUUAUUCUUAAAUUGGACUUUGAAAAAGCCUAUGACUCUGUGAGCUGGGGUUUCUUAAGGCAAGUGCUUCUAUCCAAGGGCUUUGACGGUGGCGUGGUUAUGACCACCACCUCGGAUAAACCUCUAUGGUACAACAUCCUCAAAGCUAAAUAUUUUCCUUCCUCUAGCCCCAUGUUUGCUCGUGCCACGGGUGCUUCUCAGUUUUGGAAAGAUCUUGUUAAGCUUAGGCCUAUUUUUCAAGGCCUCGUCAAAUUUGUUGUUCACAAUGGCAGAUCCACUAGAUUCUGGCUUGACUGGUGGUGCGGUUCGACCACGCUAGCGAACUCUUUUCCUGUUCUUUUUUCUUAUUGCCCAGACCCUGAGAUCUCUAUCUCUGAGCUCUCUGCCAAUAAUUGGGACCUUCAACUGCGGCGUACUCUUUCUCCUGAAGAGUUGGUUGACUGGCAGCGCCUUGUUGCCUUCUUCCCUGUGCUCUCGGAGGAGGAGGACUCGGUGGUUUGGCCCAAUUCCUCUUCUGACCGUUUCUCGGUGAAAUCUUUAUAUGGCAAGCUGAUCUCUGGCUCCAACACUGCCAAAUUUAAGUGGAUCUGGAGGGCCCGCCUUCCUCCUAAGAUCAAGAUUUUCCUCUGGCAAGCUUCUCGCGGGCGGUUGCCAGCCGAUCGUGGUUGCAUGUUUCUUGGAGACCUUCCUCCUUCUCAGACCUUCGACUCUUGGCCAUCAACUUGGUUGGGGCCCAGAGAAGAAUGUUUUGGGUGGGAUUCGCAGCGAUGUGCUGGACUCUUUGGACGACAAGAAACAAGUUUACAAUUGAACAUUUCAAGCCGGCAGUUAGGAGUUGUUGGCCCUGAUUUUGUUGUCUUUAGUUUCUCCGGCCUGCGCGCCGUGUACUGGCCUGGGAGCCAUUGGUUUCUGUGCAAGUGGAUGCUACUUGUCCAGUUAUAUUUGCACUGCUGCUGCACUCCGUCAUCGCAAAGGCAGGAGGGCAUUCAUUCCAGCGCUAGUAAUGAGAGCUACAAGCCAGCAAGCCCUGCACGGCCUGUACUCCAUGUGCUUGCUGGGCUUGAUAGUGCGAUGCUUGAAUUGCUGCACAUGCACAUGAAUCUCUUGGCCUUGGAAGUUAUAAAAGGCAACCAAUACUCAGAGAGAGCUCACACCGUUGGUGCUAACUAG
rnacentral:rRNA from 1 species